rnacentral:rRNA from 1 species
UACGUAGGGGGCAAGCGUUGUCCGGAUUUAUUGGGCGUAAAGAGCGUGUAGGCGGCCAUGCAGGUCAGCUGUGAAAACUCGAGGCUCAACCUCGAGACGUCGGUUGAAACCGUAUGGCUAGAGUCCGGAAGAGGAGAGUGGAAUUCCCGGUGUAGUGGUGAAAUGCGCAGAUAUCGGGAAGAACACCUAUGGCGAAGGCAGCUCUCUGGGACGGUACUGACGCUGAGACGCGAAAGCGUGGGGAGCGAACAGG